ACGCUCGACACCUACGGAGGCAGCAGUGAGGAAUAUUGGUCAAUGGACGCAAGUCUGAACCAGCCAUGCCGCGUGCAGGAUGACGGCUCUAUGAGUUGUAAACUGCUUUUGUACGAGGGUAAACGCAGAUACGUGUAUCUGUCUGAAAGUAUCGUACGAAUAAGGAUCGGCUAACUCCGUGCCCGCAGCCGCGGUAAUCUGAGCGGGCUGGCAAGGC
rnacentral:rRNA from 1 species